rnacentral:rRNA from 1 species
UUGACCUCGGAUCAGGUAGGAAUACCCGCUGAACC